rfam:Oryza glaberrima chromosome 3 Oglab03_0115_15, whole genome shotgun sequence.
CGAAAGAAAAAAUAUAUAGGUUUUCGUGUCGAACGUUUGACUGUUCGUGUUAUAUAAUUUUUUUAUAAUUAGUAUUUUUAUUGUUGUUAGAUGAUAAAACAUAAUUAAUACUUUAUGCGUAACUUAUCUUUUUAAUUUUGUUCAUAAUUUUUUCAAAUAACGGUCAAACGUUGAACACGGAAACCCAGGGUU